AACCCCGAUUCCAUCCCUCGCCGCAUCCCCUCCACGCGCCCCCUCUCUUCUCCCUUCUCCCACCUCUAUUCUCAUAUCCACUUCAUCUCUCUCUCUCUCUCUCUCUCCAUGGCCGCCUCCUCUUCUUCCCUCCUCACCCCGCCGGCGAUCGCUUCCCCCAAAAUCCGAAACCCUUAUAAUAGGAAAAACAGAACGAAUUCCUCGCUUCUCGAUCCGGGGCUAAGAUUGGGGUUCCGCCCUAACCGAACCCUAAUUCACCCCAAGAAACCCUCCCUCCGGAUCCGAGCCGUCCAGACCGACCGCCGGCCCAGCCGCCCCCCCGGCGACGGCGGCCGCGAGGAUGACGACCCGAUCCAGCGGUUCCUGAAGCGGGACUACAAGUGGGGUUUCGUCUCCGAUAUCGAGACGUUCUCCAUCCCCAAGGGCCUUUCCGAGGACACCGUCCGCUCCAUCUCCACCCUCAAGGGCGAGCCCGAGUGGAUGCUCCGCUUCCGCCUCGACGCCCUCCGCCGCUUCCUCUCCCUCCGCGAGCCCCGCUGGUCCGACAACCGCUACCCACCCAUCGACUUCCAGUCCUUCUGCUACUACUCGGAGCCCAAGCGCAAGCCCAAGCUCCACUCCCUCGACGAGGCUGAUCCCGAGCUCCUCGCCACCUUCGACCGCCUCGGCAUACCCCUCAACGAGCAGAAGCGCCUCACCAACGUCGCCGUCGACGCCGUCCUGGACUCGACCUCCAUUGCUACGACCCACCGCGAGGCCCUCGCGGAGAAAGGCGUCAUCUUUUGCUCCAUCUCCGAGGCCAUCCGCGAGUACCCCGACCUCGUCCGCCGCUACCUCGGGCGGGUCGUCCCCCCGGGGGACAACUUCUACGCCGCCCUCAAUUCGGCCGUCUUCAGCGACGGCUCCUUCUGCUACAUCCCCAAGGACACCGUCUCCCCUAUGGAGAUCUCCACCUACUUCCGGAUCAAUGACCGGGAGACGGGCCAGUUCGAGAGGACCCUUAUAAUUGCCGACGAGCGGAGCUAUGUCAGCUACCUGGAGGGCUGCACGGCUCCGUCCUAUGAUAAGAACCAGCUCCAUGCUGCGGUGGUGGAGCUGUACUGCGCCGAGGGGGCUGAGAUUAAGUACUCCACGGUGCAGAACUGGUAUGCAGGGGAUGAAGAAGGGAAUGGUGGCAUCUACAAUUUCGUGACGAAGAGGGGCCUCUGCGAUGGCAAUAGAUCAAAGAUUUCGUGGACCCAGGUGGAAACUGGGUCUGCGAUAACAUGGAAGUACCCCAGUGUGGUUCUCAAGGGGGAUGAUACGAUGGGUGAGUUCUACUCAGUGGCGCUGACAAAAGAUUAUCAGCAGGCUGACACCGGAACGAAGAUGAUUCAUGUCGGGAAGAAUUCGAGGAGUAGGAUCAUUUCCAAGGGUAUCUCGGCAGGCAAGUCCAGGAAUUGCUAUCGAGGUCUUGUUCAGGUCCAGCCCCAGGCAGCAAAUGCUCGGAAUUUCUCGCAGUGUGAUUCUAUGCUUAUUGGUGACACAGCCGGUGCCAACACAUAUCCUUAUAUACUGGUAAAGAACCCCACUGCCCGUGUAGAGCAUGAGGCAAGCACUUCCAAGAUUGGUGAAGAUCAGCUAUUCUAUUUUCAGCAGAGGGGAAUUGAUCAUGAAAAGGCUGUUGCAGCCAUGAUUGGUGGGUUCUGCAGGGAUGUUUUCGACAAGCUUCCUCUAGAGUUUGCAUCAGAGGUGAAUGCGCUCAUGAAUCUAAAGCUGGAGGGUUCUGUGGGAUAAUUGUGGAUUGUUGCUGUGGAUGGACCGGUGAGCUUUUGUUUGUAAGUUGACUACAGGUCAACAUUUGUAUAGCAUUAAAGGGUGAAUAAGUAUUAGUAAAUGGACAUGCAAUAUUGUAGAUCCUGUGCCAAUAUCACGAGGAAUUGAUAGUACUGGUCUUCAUUGUCCUUUCUUCUUCCUUUUUUGUCAGCGGGGAAUCAGCUGCUUAGUAUAUGAAUUAAAGAUUGCAUGUGUUUGUUGGCUGAAGCCGAAUUGUAUGCAGGUUUUGCCAGCACAUAGAGCAGAAUUUGAUUGGAUCCUAUGGGACUUGUGGAUUGGGCUGCACUAAACAUGGCUCUAUCAACCAAAGGCCUCCCAGCCCAAAUCUUGUGGGAAUAAAAAAAGACCCAUAAAGAUAUUGUUUUCUUCCUGCAGCCGAAAAGAUGCGAGUUAGAUGGGCCAACAGGCCUGAUUUCUCCUGGAUUUUUGGCAGGCUGCAGGUCCUUAAAAAUGUUCCAUAUUUGUAGCUGAAUGAGGCCCUUGGUUCAAAAUUUUAAUCAACUAAUGGAUGGUUCAAAUAAGCUACAGUUCAGUGAAAGCACUAUGUGCAUGGGUAAGGAAUCCAAACUGCAGAGAAUUUGGCAGCACACAUGAAGCUACACCUUAGAGGACCUGAUUAAGAAGCACAGAAGGGGUUGGAGUUGGAAGCUCUUUUGAAUCAUCCACUAAUAUCAUUUUUAGCAGAACAUGCACUGAGGAAUUUAAACAGAGCGGGUACAUUGGGAACAAUACUUCUAAAUCGAACAUGAUUUAUACAAAAAGAGGAUUUUUAAUUUUGUGUAACCAAUAGCAACUUCCGAGAAAUUUCCUGAAUUACUUAUGGCAACAUGGAAAUGUGAAAUUUUUCUCUA